UACGAAGGGGGGCUAGCGUUGCUCGGAUUGACUGGGCGUAAAGGGCGCGUAGGCGGUUCGUACAGUCAGACGUGAAAUUCCUGGGCUCAACCUGGGAGCUGCGUUUGAUACGUGCGGACUUGAGUGCGGAAGAGGGUCGUGGAAUUCCCAGUGUAGAGGUGAAAUUCGUAGAUAUUGGGAAGAACACCGGUGGCGAAGGCGGGUCACCUGGGCCGAUACUGACGCUGAGGAGCGAAAGCGUGGGGAGCGAACAGG
rnacentral:rRNA from 1 species